rnacentral:rRNA from 1 species
UACAGAGGUCUCAAGCGUUGUUCGGAUUCAUUGGGCGUAAAGGGUGCGUAGGCGGCGCGGUAAGUCGGGUGUGAAAUCUUGGAGCUUAACUCCGAAACUGCAUUCGAUACUGCCGUGCUUGAGGACUGGAGAGGAGACUGGAAUUUACGGUGUAGCGGUGAAAUGCGUAGAUAUCGUGAAGGAAGACCAGUGGCGAAGGCGGGUCUCUGGACAGUUCCUGACGCUGAGGCACGAAGGUCAGGGGAGCAAACGGG